rnacentral:lncRNA from 1 species
GUGGUUCCGGUGAGUCGAGCAGGUGGUUCUGGCGUGCUUGGCACGUGGUUCAGGCGUGUCUGGCAGGUGGUUCCACAAUGACCAGGAUGUGGUUCUCGCACCUCUGAGAGUUGGUUCUGGGUUGCCCGGCAGGUGAUUACGGAGUGUCCCUCAAGUGGUUCUGGCAUAGUCGGCAGGUGAUUUUUGGGUGUCCAGCAUGUGGUCCGGGCGACUCGAGCCUGUGAUUCCGGCGUGCUCGGCAGGUGGUUCAGGCAUGUCUGGCAGUCGUUCCGGCUAGUCGAGCAGGUGGUUCCGGCGAGCUUGGCAGUUGCUUCCGGUGUCUCCGGCACAUGGUUCUGGCACGUUUGAGAGGUGGUUCCGGAAUGCCCGACAGGUGAUUCCGGAGUGUAUGGCAAGUGGUUCUGGUGUAGCCGCAACUGAUUUUGGCGUGUCUGGAGGUGGUUCCAGUGAGUCGAACAGGUGGUUCCGGCGAGCUCGGCAGGUGCUUCCGCGGUCUCCGGCACCUGGUUCUGGCACGUCUAGAGGUGGUUCCGGCAUGACCGGCAGGUGAUUCUGGAGUGUCCGACAAGUGGUUCUGGCGCAGCCGGCACGUGAUUUUGGCAUGUCCAGUAGGGGUGUCCUGCGAGUCAAGCAGGUGGUUCUGGCGUUCUUGGCACGUGGUUCUGGCGUAUCCGGCACGUGGUUCUGGCACCUCUGAGAGGUGGUUCCGGCUUGCCAGGCAGGUGAUUACGGAGUGUCCCUCAAGUGGUUCUGGCGUAGUCGGCAGGUGAUUUUGGCAUGUCUGGCAUGUGGUCUGGGCGACUCAAGCCUGUGAUUCCGCCGUGCUCGGCAGGUGGUUCAGGCAUGUCUGGUGUCGUUCCAGUGAGUCGAGCAGGUGGUUCCAGCGUGCUCGGCACUUGGUUCAGGCGUGUCCGGCAGGUGGUUCCCGUCUGUCCAGGACGUGGUUCCUGCAUGUCCGGCACGUGGUUCUGGCACAUAUGGGAGGUGGUUCCGGCAUGCCCGGCAGGUGAUUCCGGAGUGUCCGGCAAGUGGUUCUGGUGUAGCCGACAGGUGACUUUGGCGUGUCCGGCAGGAGGUUCCUGUGAGUCGAGCAGGUGGUUCUGACGUGAUCGGCAGGUGCUUCCAGCGUCUCUGGCACAUGUUUCUGGCACGUCUGAGAGGUGAUUCCCUCAUGCCCAGCAGCUGAUUCCGGAUUGUCCACCAAGUGGUUCUGACGUAGUCGGCAGGUGACUUUGACGUGUCCAGCAGGUGAUUCUGGUGAGUGGAUCAGAUAGUUCAGGCAUGCUCGGCAGGUUUUUCAGGUGUUUCGGGCAGGUGGUUCCGGUCUGUCCUGUAGGUGCUUUCAGCGUGUCCCUCACAUGGUUCUGGCACGUCAGAGAGGUGGUUCCGGCAUGCCCGGCAGGUGAUCCCAAGUGUCCGGCAAGUGGUUCUGGUGUAGCCAACAGGUGAUUUUGGUGUGUCCGGCAGGUGGGUCUGGCGAGUCAAGCAGGUGGUUCCGGCGAGUCUGGCAGGUGGUUCCGGUCUGUCCAGGAAGUCGUUCCGGUGUGUCUGGCACGUGCUUCUGGCACGUGUGAAAGGUUGUGUUAGCCUGGCCUGCAGGUGAUUCAGGAUUGUCCACCAAGUGGUUCUGGCGUAGCCGGCAGGUGAUUUUGGCAUUCUGGCAGGUGGUUGCGGCGAUCGAGCAGGUGGUUUCGGCGAGCUCGGCAGGUGCUUCUGGCGUCUCUGGCAUGUGGUUCUGGCACAUCUGAGAGGUUGUGCCGGCAUGCCCAGCACGUGAUUCCGGCUUGUCUGCCAAUUGGUUCUGGCAUAGCCUGCAGGUGAUUUUGGCGUGUCCAGCAGGUGGGUCCGGCGAGUCAAGCAGGUCGUUCCGGCCAGUCUGGCAGGUGGUUCCGGUCUGUCCAGGAUGUCGUUCCGGUGUGUCCGUGAUGGGCUUUCGGCACGUGUGAGAGGUUGUGUUGGCAUGCCCGAAAGGUGAUUCCGGAAUGUCCAACAAGUGGUUCUGGUGUAGCCGGCAGGUGACUUUGCCAUGACCGGCAGGUGGUUCCUGGGAGUCGAGCAGGUGGUUUCGGUGAGCUCGGCAGGUGCUUCUGGAAUCUCCGGCACGUGUUUCUCGCACAUCUGAGAGGUGGUUCCAGCAUGCCCGGCAGGUCAUUCGGGAGUGUCUGGCAAGUUGCUCUGGCAUUACCGACAGGUGAUUUUGGCGUCUCCGGCAGGUGGCUCCUGCGAGUCGAGGAGGUGGUUCCGGCGUGCUCGGCAGGUGUUUCAGGCGUGUCCAGCACGUUGUUCCAGUCUGUCCAGAACGUGUUUCUGGCGUGUCCGGCACAUGGUUCUUGUACGUCUGAGAGGUUGUUCCGGCUAGCCCGGCUGGUGACUCCGGACUGUCCAACACGUGAUUCUAGCAUAGCCUGCAGGUGAUUUUGGCGUGCCCGGGAGGUGAUUCCGGCGAUUCGAGCUGGUGGUUCUGGUGAAUCAAGCAGGUGGUUCCAGCGUGCUUAGCAGCUGCUUCCUGCAUCACUGUCACGUGGUUCUGGCAUGUCUGAGAGGUGGUGCAGGCAUGUUCGGCAGGUUAUUCCGGAGUGUCCGCCAAGUAGUUUUGGCAUAGCUGGCAAGUGAUUUUGGCGUGUCCGGCAGGGGGUUCCGGUGAGUCAAGCAGGUGUUUCUGGGGUGCUCGGCAGGUGGUUCAGGCAUGUCCGUAAGCUCGUUCCGGUCUGUCCGGGAUGUGGUUCCGGAGUGUCCGCUAAGAGGUUCUGGCAUAGCCGCCCGGUGAUUUUGGCAUGUCCGGCAGGUGGUUCCGGUCUGUCUGGGAGGUGGUUCCGGGGUGUCCAGGACGUGUUUCUGGCACGUCUGAGAAAUGAUUCCUGCAUGCCCGACAGGUGAUUUGAAGUGUCCGCCAAGUGGUUCUGGC